GACGAACGCUGGCGGCGUGCCUAACACAUGCAAGUCAACUUGACUGAAGGAGCAAUCUGACAGUAGAGUGGCGCAAGGGUGCGUAACGCGUAAGUAACUUGCCCCAAGGUAAGGAAUAACGUCGAGAAAUCGGCGCUAAUACCUCAUAAUGCAGCGGAUCCGCAUGGAUAUGUUGUUAAAGGUUUACCGCCUUGGGAUAGGCUUGCGUCUGAUUAGCUAGUUGGUGUGGUAACGGCACACCAAGGCUACGAUCAGUAACUGGUCUGAGAGGAUGAUCAGUCACACUGGAACUGAGACACGGUCCAGACUCCUACGGGAGGCAGCAGUGAGGAAUAUUGGGCAAUGCUCGAAAGAGUGACCCAGCAACGCCGCGUGGAGGAUGAAGGUAUUCUAUAUCGUAAACUCCUGUGAGAGCAGACGAAAGACAGAUUAUUAAUCUGGAUGACUGUAUG
rnacentral:rRNA from 1 species